UCAAUCUGAAUUAUGUGUGAUCCUUUAUCCAUGAGUUCUGGGUAAAACUGACGGUCCCACGCGCUGAACAGUGAGUUUGUUGCAUACAAUCGUUUACCAUCAAGGCUCAGCUGGAUCAUCUGAGGUCCUGCUCGUAGAGAUUUCCCCUACAAAUACCGAGAUAUUAAAGAAAAAAGUGCUCCCAAAUGAAUGUUUAUUUUUGUAAGUAAAACAAACCUUGAUCUGAGGAACAUCAAACUGGUAAGUGGUACCAUCUUCUCUAACAGCCUUUACAGGGCUGCCUUUUUGUAGUAAUCCGCCCACCCAAAUUUGACCAGUUAAGACAGGGUUUUUAGGGUCUUCAAUGUUGUACUGACGAAUGUCUCCAUGAAGCCAGUUCACAAAGUAGAAAAACCGAUCAUCGAGGGAGAUCAAGAAGUCGGUGAUAAGCCCCGGCAUUUCUGGAAGAAUCCAGUUCUCUACUUUCAGUGGUUCAACUGAUAUAACCACCUACCGAAAAAAUCAAUUUAAGGGUUAAUCAUAGCUUUGAAGAACCAAAGUAAAAAAAAGAGGUUAUGAAGAUAAUUCAGAAACUCGCUGCAAAGAAAAGACGAAAUGUGUCGUUUUAUGUAACCUUCUCAUCUAUUUACAUUCUAGCAAGAAACCAAAAUUGCAUCAGCUUCUCCGUAGCUUUAACCCCCUUCAUUCUCAUAAAUGUGAUCUUGUUACGGAAUCACUUGUCAAACAACUUCUUAAUCACCGGUAAAGGCAUCAACUUAUCACCAUGUAUUACUUUGUUAUGUUCUCUCCAUACUGCAUACAAGACUGUCUGAAAUGCAUAUCUAAUACAAAACAGACUCAUCUUCUCCCUUGUUUCAUCCGAAAUGAUUAGAAAAAUCUCAGACUCACUUUUUUUCUUAUGUGGACUCCAAAUACAAAUCUGAUUCUGUUUGUAAUCAUUUUCUUUCAAAAAUAACUCUGUUUUAGUUUCUUAUGAAUAUUGCGCCUACCCACCUUAUAGAGUUUUAAGGGAAUGUUCAAGGUUUGCACAACAUAACAUACUCUAUAUGCUUAAGCAGUUACUAAACCAUCUUUGGGUCAGGAAGUCUAGGCUCUAGAUAAAGAUUAACUCUAUUUUGCUACUUUUCUUCACUCAUUUGGUAUUUAAAUCUUGCACCACUGGUAAUGCUCAAACCUCAAAAGAAAGGGACACAAUAUAAGUAGGAGGUUAUAAUAUCACGGCUUAUUUAUUACACUCUGGAAAACAUAACAAUGAGUCAAACCCAAUUUUACUCUUUUUUAGGGGUCCAAUUCAAAUCCAGAUAUCAGAUGUGCAGUCUCCGCCGGGAUAUCUCAUCUCAUGGGCAAGCGCAGGACCAUCGGGUUCUUCACCAAAGUCCACAAAGAAAUCAGGGUUUAUUGAGAGACCACCUUUCUCUGUAUCAACAUCAAUCUGAAUUAUGUGUGAUCCUUUAUCCAUGAGUUCUGGGUAAAACUGACGGUCCCACGCGCUGAACAGUGAGUUUGUUGCAUACAAUCGUUUACCAUCAAGGCUCAGCUGGAUCAUCUGAGGUCCUGCUCGUAGAGAUUUCCCCUACAAAUACCGAGAUAUUAAAGAAAAAAGUGCUCCCAAAUGAAUGUUUAUUUUUGUAAGUAAAACAAACCUUGAUCUGAGGAACAUCAAACUGGUAAGUGG
rnacentral:lncRNA from 1 species